rnacentral:rRNA from 1 species
GACGAACGCUGGCGGCGUGCUUAACACAUGCAAGUCGAACGAAGAGCGAUGGAAGCUUGCUUCUAUCAAUCUUAGUGGCGCACGGGUGAGUAACGCGUAAUCAACCUGCCCUUCAGAGGGGGACAACAGUUGGAAACGACUGCUAAUACCGCAUACGAUCUAAUCUCGGCAUCGAGGAUAGAUGAAAGGUGGCCUCUACAUGUAAGCUAUCACUGAAGGAGGGGAUUGCGUCUGAUUAGCUAGUUGGAGGGGUAACGGCCCACCAAGGCGAUGAUCAGUAGCCGGUCUGGGAAGAUGAACGGCCACAUUGGGACUGGGACACGGCCCAGACUCCUACGGGAGGCAGCAGUGGGGAAUCUUCCGAAAUGGACGAAAGUCUGACGGCGCAACGCCGCGUGAGUGAUGACGGCCUUCGGGUUGUAAAGCUCUGUUAAUCGGGACGAAAGGCCUUCUUGCGAAUAGGGAGAAGGAUUGACGGUACCGGAAGAGAAAGCCACGGCUAACUACGUG